rnacentral:rRNA from 1 species
UACGGGGGGGGCAAGCGGUUGUUCGGAAUUACUGGGCGUAAAGGGUCCGUAGGUGGCUUGCUAAGUCAGACGUGAAAUCCCUCGGCUUAACCGGGGAACUGCGGUCUGAGACUGGCGAGCUUGAGUGCAGGAGAGGAACGCGGAAUUUCAGGUGUAGCGGUGAAAAUGCGUAGAUAUCUGGAGGAACACCGGUGGCGAAG